rnacentral:rRNA from 1 species
AUUGAACGCUGGCGGCAGGCCUAACACAUGCAAGUCGAGCGGCAGCGGAAAGUAGCUUGCUACUUUGCCGGCGAGCGGCGGACGGGUGAGUAAUGUCUGGGAAACUGCCUGACGGAGGGGGAUAACUACUGGAAACGGUAGCUAAUACCGCAUAACGUCGCAAGACCAAAGAGGGGGACCUUCGGGCCUCUUGCCAUCAGAUGUGCCCAGAUGGGAUUAGCUAGUAGGUGGGGUAAUGGCUCACCUAGGCGACGAUCCCUAGCUGGUCUGAGAGGAUGACCAGCCUCACUGGAACUGAGACACGGUCCAGACUCCUACGGGAGGCAGCAGUGGGGAAUAUUGCACAAUGGGCGCAAGCCUGAUGCAGCCAUGCCGCGUGUAUGAAGAAGGCCUUCGGGUUGUAAAGUACUUUCAGUGGGGAGGAAGGUGUUGAGGUUAAUAACCUCAGCAAUUGACGUUACCCGCAGAAGAAGCACCGGCUAACUCCGUGCCAGCCGCCGCAGUAA